rnacentral:SRP_RNA from 1 species
GUUGAGUGCGGUAGCCCUCAUCUAUAGUCCCAGCUAGUGGAGAGAUUGAGGCAAGAUAAUCAUUUGAGCCCUGGAGUUCUGGGCUGUAGUGCACUAUGUCAACUGUUUGUUCUAACUAAGUUCAGCAUCAAUAUGGUGACCUCUCAGGAAUGGAGGAUCAGCAAAGGUGGGAAACAGAGCAGGUCAAAAUUCCUAUGCCGAUCAGUAGUGGGAUCAUGCCCAUGAGUGGUCACUGUGCUCCACCUUGGGUGACAUAUUGAGAACCCAUCUUU